UACGUAGGGUGCAAGCGUUAAUCGGAAUUACUGGGCGUAAAGCGUGCGCAGGCGGUUUUGUAAGUCUGACGUGAAAUCCCCGGGCUCAACCUGGGAAUUGCGUUGGAGACUGCAAGGCUGGAGUCUGGCAGAGGGGGGUAGAAUUCCACGUGUAGCAGUGAAAUGCGUAGAGAUGUGGAGGAACACCGAUGGCGAAAGCAACCGCCUGGGCCUGAACUGACACUGAGACACGAAAGCGUGGGGAGCAAACAGG
rnacentral:rRNA from 1 species